UUGGGUUGGAAGAGGCAUUAAAGAUCACCUUGUUCCAUCCCUGCCAUGGACAAGGACAGCUUCCACCAUACCAGGGUGAUCCAAACCCCAGUGUUCAUCCUGGCCUUGGACACUUCCAGGGAUCCAGGGACAACCACAGUUUCUCUGGGCACCCUGUGCCAGGGCCUCACUUCCCUCCCAGACAGGAAUUCCUUCCCAAAAUCCCACCCAUCCCUGCCCUCUGGCAGUGGGAGCCAUUCCCUGGGUUCUGUCCCUCCAUCCCUUGUCCCCAGUCCCUCUCCAGCUCUCCUGGAGCCCCUUCAGGCCCUGCAAGGGGCUCUGAGCUCUGCCUGGAGCUUCUCCUCUCCAGGUGAGCAUUCCCAGCUCUCCCAACCUGGCUUCAGAGCCUUGGAACACCUUCAUGGCCUCCUCUGGACUCUCUCCAGCAGUUUGACAAUAUCUGUGCCAACAUCAACCUUGCAGAUGAUUUCAAAUGAGGAAAGAUCAGCCACGAAGCUCGAAGUGCUCCUGAGCCUUCAUCCCCAGAGUGUGUGACCCCAUGCAAUCCAGCAGGGAUCCCUGCCAAAAACACCCCAGGAACACCUGCCAUACACAUAUCUAAAAACCCAAAGGCUACAGGCAGCUUGGAAUUCAGCAAUCCCAGCUCAUUCCUCGGGUUAUGGAAGCUUGGAAGCAACAGGCACCAGGACCCAAAGGCAGAACGCUGCACCCACUGCCCAAAGCACCCUUGGGUGGGUGGCUGUGGAAAAUGGAGCUCUGGUUGCCCUGUGCCAUGGGAACAGGAUCCCUCCCAGCUGCUGGGUGCAGGGGGGGAGCAGAGGUGCCCCCAGGACCUCACCCAGCCUCCCACAGCAAGGAGUGGUGCCCUGCCCACACCCAGCCUUGCCCUCCCACUCCCACCACCAUUUCACUUCGAUCCCACUUCACCGGGACCUUCCCUUCUCGUCCUGUAGGGGCUGGUGGAGGAAAACUCCCCAUGUCACAUGGCAGAGAACAAAAGGAGCUGUUUUUAACCGAAUGGAUUAAUCUUUGACAAGAACAGGGCGAUGCCACACCAGCCUCACUCCUCCCACGGGAAUCAGUCAGCACGAACAUGGUGGUUUUGCUGACAAGGAGCACAUCUCGUCCACUCCAAACCUUCUACUUCUGGCAGCGGCCAGGAUGGGACAAAUCUGGGGCUUGGUGCAGGCAAAAGAUGGAAAUCACACCAAUAAAACCAAGGGGAAAUCCAAGAUCCAAGCAAACGGCUCUGUAGAGGAGCUCGGGGUUUUCCCGAGACCAUACCAUCCUCCACAAGAAUUCCCAGGCAUCUUCACCGUUCCUGGCACAGCUCUCGUGCCAAAAUGCCACAAUAAAAGAAAAACACGGCCACAAGGAGCAUGGCUGCCAAUGCUUGGCCAACCGUGUCCUCAGCAGGAGAAGGCAAUGCUUUCUGACACCGUGAUUUCCCUGAGAUCCUCUGCUGAGUUUCCAGCAGGUGGGAAGGAUUUCACAAGCCAUGGGAAACAGCUGGAUAGGCACCUCUCAGUCAACACCACAGCCCCACACCUCCAAUGUCCCCACCGCUCCCUUCCAUCCCCAACGCCACUGAAACGGGCGCCUACCUGGUGCUGGGAACAUCUAUGAGUCAGGUUCCUCCAGCAGCUCCAUGGCAAGCUCGGGGUUGUCUCAGCACAGCUGGAAGAUAAAGCCACCAAGAGAAAAGCUCAGUGUCCUUGCAGAGGUGGCGUUUCUCAGGGCAGGUUCCUCCCGCGUGGCCGCUGGGAGCCCAUCCCGCAGGAGCCGUGGGGCUCUCCACGUCCUCCUGGGCUGGUGAGGCGCCGGGAUCCCUGGGAAUUGUGCUCUGCUUGGAAGGACCAACCCUUUUUGACUGGUGUCCAAGCCCAAAGCGCAUGUUCUUACCUGCUCGGUGGAAGAUGGGGGGAGUCUGGACCACCUCUCCGAGAAACACAUGGAUCUCAGCAGGGUGUGGAUGUCCUGCUCCUCACCCAAACGCUGUUUAGGAGAAAAGGGGGCUGCAAAAUUGUGGGAAUUUGGAGAAAAGAGGUCGGAGGUGGGAACGCUCCUGCAGCUGGAGCCAGCACGGCUCUGCCGGUUGGUUCACAGCGGAGCUGUGAUCAACAGGGAUGGGGAUGUCAAGCUGGGACUUGUCUCCUCAGCAAGGAAAGGGAACAGCAGGGAUUACUAAGCGAUGCAGGAAUGUGGUUUGUUUAAUAUGAGCCAUCAACACAGAAGAGUAAAAUAAUGACAGAUGUGUAAUCACAUUUCCUGAGUCUAAAACCAUGAGAUCGAGAAUUUAAACACCACUUUUCCCAAGAUCAAGAAGAUGAGCCGUUUGGCUAAGAACUGAUUUGGUUACUAAUUUCCUUGGCAUUAAAUCAGCUGUUUCCCCAAUCUCUUGACAGGCUUUGCUCCAAGGACGGGGCUGGUCCCUGCUUUGCUUUGAUGUGAGGGUAAGAUGCUUUGGAAACAGGGAUUCACCAACUGACCGAGCUGGCCUGGAUCAGAGGCUCCUCAGCAUUGCUUAAUUGGUUUAUUUUAAUGAAAGAUGGCAAGAUAAGUUUCACAUGGAUCUUUAUCGGGGGAGCGGCCGAGUGGUGGGAGACAGAAAUCCAGAGCUGGGUUAAGCCAACCUUCCAAGGGCAGGAUAGGGGGGAAAGGGAAGCCCUUCCCCAUCAUGGAAAGGCAGAAUUUCUGCAAGGUUGGAUUGCAGAAGACACAUGGCUGAGGGAGACCAGACUCACAACCCUCCAAGAGUGGGGAAUGCAAUCUCUGCUCAGCCCCUGGACAUGGCAUUGUCCCAAAGGUCACGGGUGCAGGACCUGGGAGGGAGCGGUUCCAUGGUGGGGUAGGGCUGGGAGGAAACGGUGUCAUUUGCUUGUCAGAUGUUUCCAUUCGUCUCUUGAGAUCAAAAGUGGGAAAAACACUGAGCAGGGAGGGUGCUGCUGGCACAGGAGCUGGCCUGAGAGGGUCUGCCUCUCUUCUGGAUUUGGGAAGCAUGCUGUCUCUCCAAAAGGAAAGGCUGAGUGACAUGGGGGUGUUCACCUGGAGAGGAGAAGGCUCCAGAGAGCCCCUUCCAGGACCUAAAGUGCUCCAGGAGAGCUGGAGAAGGACUGGGGGCAAGGGGUGGAAAGACAGGACACAGGGAAUGGCUUCCCAGUGAGAGAUGGGAUACUGGGAAGAAAUUCUUCUCUGUGAGGGUGUUUUAGGGAGCUGGGAAAGCCAAAACAGAGGUGCCCAAGGAUGCAGGACCACUCUCCCAGGACAUGAAAAACACAGAACCAUUUAAGGCUUAACAAGGAGAAUAAAGAACAAAAUGUAUGAAUUUAUUUUGUAUUUUUCUUCCUGUCCCUGUGUUGGAACUCACCGGCGCUGGUGGGAUUCACCCCUGCUCACAUCUGGAGGAGCUGUGCUGACCCUACAGCUGAUGUCCCUACAGAGCAGAGGUGCCAUCAGCUCACACCUCCCUGCUGUGAGCCUGGGAAUGUGCCUACAUUUCCAAGCACAAGCUCAGAGAUCUUCCCUGGAGACCCACCAGCGUCUGGCGUGAUGGCCAGCUCUGAGCUAUCCCUAAUUAACCAGCUUUGCAUUUCUAAUUGAGCCCUGGAAGUCAGCCAGCAGGAGCAAGAGGCGUUCACCUGGCUGCCACCCUUUGAUGACAGCAGUGGAGCUGGUAUGGGAGGCUGAUGGAAAUGCAAUCAAGGAGAUCGUUCCAAGAGCUGCUCCCAAGCCUGAGAGCCCCAAUGCUGCCAGGAGCUCACCAGGAGCAACCUGCACUUCUUGGGAUGGCCCAGGUGGGAUCCCACACGUGCACUGCUCAUCCUGGAUGAGAAACAUCACAGAGACACUGUGACCUCAGUGGGAAGAAAAAUUGCUGCACAAAAGGGACGGGGAGCUGAGGCCAGGAGCAAAACUUCGGCACUGGUCCCACCACAAGCAGCUCUGGGUGGGUCCAGAUGAAAUGUUUUUCAGAGAUUUUGUAAAAUUAGUGGAAUAAAAA
ensembl:lncRNA